UGAAUGCACUAAAUGUAAGUUGCUCUGGAUAAGAGUGUCUGCUAAAUGACUAAAA
rfam:Salmo salar isolate Sally breed double haploid chromosome ssa19, whole genome shotgun sequence.